rnacentral:rRNA from 1 species
ACGCACGCUGGCGGCGUGCUUAACCCAUGCACGUCGAACGGAAAGGCCUCUUUCGGGGGGUACUCGAGUGGCGAACGGGUGAGUAACACGUGAGUAACCUGCCCUUGACUUUGGGAUAACUUCAGGAAACUGGGGCUAAUACCGGAUAGGAGCUCCUGCUGCAUGGUGGGGGUUGGAAAGUUUCGGCGGUUGGGGAUGGACUCGCGGCUUAUCAGCUUGUUGGUGGGGUAGUGGCUUACCAAGGCUUUGACGGGUAGCCGGCCUGAGAGGGUGACCGGCCACAUUGGGACUGAGAUACGGCCCAGACUCCUACGGGAGGCAGCAGUGGGGAAUAUUGCACAAUGGGUGGAAGCCUGAUGCAGCAACGCCGUGUGCGGGAUGACGGCCUUCGGGUUGUAAACCGCUUUCGCUCAUGACGAAGCUUUGUGUGACGGUAGUGGGUAAAGAAGCACCGGCUAACUACGUG